GACGAACGCUGGCGGCGUGCCUAAUACAUGCAAGUCGAGCGAGCUUGCCUAGAUGAAUUUGGUGCUUGCACCAAAUGAAACUAGAUACAAGCGAGCGGCGGACGGGUGAGUAACACGUGGGUAACCUGCCCAAGAGACUGGGAUAACACCUGGAAACAGAUGCUAAUACCGGAUAACAACACUAGACGCAUGUCUAGAGUUUAAAAGAUGGUUCUGCUAUCACUCUUGGAUGGACCUGCGGCGCAUUAGCUAGUUGGUAAGGUAACGGCUUACCAAGGCAAUGAUGCAUAGCCGAGUUGAGAGACUGAUCGGCCACAUUGGGACUGAGACACGGCCCAAACUCCUACGGGAGGCAGCAGUAGGGAAUCUUCCACAAUGGACGCAAGUCUGAUGGAGCAACGCCGCGUGAGUGAAGAAGGGUUUCGGCUCGUAAAGCUCUGUUGGUAGUGAAGAAAGAUAGAGGUAGUAACUGGCCUUUAUUUGACGGUAAUUACUUAGAAAGUCACGGCUAACUACGUGCCAGCAGCCGCGGUAAUACGUAGGUGGCAAGCGUUGUCCGGAUUUAUUGGGCGUAAAGCGAGUGCAGGCGGUUCAAUAAGUCUGAUGUGAAAGCCUUCGGCUCAACCGGAGAAUUGCAUCAGAAACUGUUGAACUUGAGUGCAGAAGAGGAGAGUGGAACUCCAUGUGUAGCGGUGGAAUGCGUAGAUAUAUGGAAGAACACCAGUGGCGAAGGCGGCUCUCUGGUCUGCAACUGACGCUGAGGCUCGAAAGCAUGGGUAGCGAACAGG
rnacentral:rRNA from 1 species